GUCAAAUGUUGACUUAUACCUGGAUCAACUGAAAAAGAGUGAAGGAACAAUUCCAAUUGUUAUUAUUCAGUUUUGCAAGCGCAAUCUAUUUAGAGGUGAAAUUCGCAUUUCUACACAUUUUCAAGCUUCUAAGGUUGUGAUCAAUGCUGAUGUUAAAGAAGUGAAAGAUUUUAGGAUGAGAAUAAGAGAUGAUAGCAG